rnacentral:rRNA from 1 species
GAUGAACGCUGGCGGCGUGCCUAAUGCAUGCAAGCCGAACGGCCUGAUUUAUCAGGCAGUGGCGGACGGGUGAGUAACGCGUAAGAACUUACCCUAAAGUGGGGGACAACCUCGAGAAAUCGGGGCUAAUACCGCAUACGCUCCGCAAGGAGGAAAGCUACGGCGCUUUAGGAUGGGCCCGCGGCGCAUUAGCUAGUUGGUGAGGUAACGGCUCACCAAGGCCACGAUGCGUAGCCGACCUGAGAGGGUGAUCGGCCACACUGGGACUGAGACACGGCCCAGACUCCUACGGGAGGCAG